rnacentral:rRNA from 1 species
GUGGGGAAUAUUGGACAAUGGGGGGAACCCUGAUCCAGCCAUGCCGCGUGUGUGAAGAAGGCCUUUUGGUUGUAAAGCACUUUAAGCGAGGAGGAGGCUACCGAGAUUAAUACUCUUGGAUAGUGGACGUUACUCGCAGAAUAAGCACCGGCUAACUCUGUGCCAGCAGCCGCGGUAAUACAGAGGGUGCAAGCGUUAAUCGGAUUUACUGGGCGUAAAGCGCGCGUAGGUGGCCAAUUAAGUCAAAUGUGAAAUCCCCGAGCUUAACUUGGGAAUUGCAUUCGAUACUGGUUGGCUAGAGUAUGGGAGAGGAUGGUAGAAUUCCAGGUGUAGCGGUGAAAUGCGUAGAGAUCUGGAGGAAUACCGAAGGCGAAGGCAGCCAUCUGGCCUAAUACUGACACUGAGGUGCGAAAGCAUGGGGAGCAAACAGGAUUAGAAACCCGUGUAGUCC